UAAAAAAAAAUAAAAACUUUUCCUCUGCUGGUGAAUGAAUGACAAGCCCUUCUCUGCCUCUGAUUGGCUGGUACUCGUUGCCUUCAUUGGUUGGUCAGGGUGAGACUGUGAGACUAAGCCAAUCAGAGGCAGAGCAAGGCGGGUCAUUUCUUCACCUUCAGAGGAAUCAGCCUUUCUCCUCCAGACUGUCGGCAGUGUGUGAGCUGUGUGUGAGCUGUGUGUGUGUGUGUGUGUGUGUCGCAGCUGAGCGCCUUUUAAACAAUCUGUCAUCACUUCAUCUGCUGUGAGAAGAACAUUUAGUUUCCUCUGAUCGACACCAAACUGAGGAGGAGGAGGAGGAGGAGGAGGAGGAGGAGGAGCUCAUCAGUGUGACGAGACACCUCUGACUUCAGGACGUCCGUCUGGAAUCUGUAACCACUGAAGAAGAAGAAGAAGAAUGAGUUCUCCAAAAAAGAAACAGAGAGUUGGAAAUAAAACCAGAUCUUACAGCUGUGACCAGUGUUUGAAAACGUUCCCUACAUCACAGCGAUUAAAGAGUCACCAGAGAGUUCACAGUGGAGAGAGACCAUACAGCUGUGAGCAGUGUGAGAAAGCUUUCACCACUGCAGCACUCCUAAAACAACACCAGCGUAUCCACUCUGAAGAGAAACCGUACAGCUGUGACCAGUGUGAGAAAAAGUUUUACACGAUAUACAGUUUGAAGAGUCAUGAGAGAGUUCACUCUGGAGAGAGACCGUACAGCUGUGACCAGUGUGAGAAGGCUUUUACAGCUCUCCAUCAUUUAAAACAACACCAGGCCUUCACACACUCUGAAGAGAGACCACACAGCUGUGACCAGUGUGAGAAAACAUACAAAACAGUCGGAACUCUUCAUGUUCAUCAGAAAGUUCACACUGGAGAGAAACCAUUUCAGUGUCAGGAGUGUGGCCACAAAUUUGCUCUAAACUCACGCCUAAAGCUUCAUCAUCAAAGAUAUCACAGUGAAGAGAGACCCCACCACUGUCAGCAGUG